UGGCUUCUGGGAGGGGAGGAAAAAUGAUUGCAUUUGUCGGAGGGAGGAAAAAUUUUUUUAAAAAAAAACCAAAAAACAAAUGAGGGGCUGGGAGGAAGCGAGCGGGGCGAUGUGGAGUGCGGCGGAUCUUGUUUGCAGCCGGGGAGGCGAUAACGCCGGGAAGCGGACCUCUAUCUCUGCCCACCCGCCGCCCUUCCUAGUACGUCCUACAAAGUUUCUAGGCGAGGGGAGAUGUUAUCUGUCCCCCACCAGCCCCGCCGGGGCCCAGCUUCUCAGAAGAGCUGCCCAAGGCUGAGGGCCGGCUGGUGUUGCAGCAGUGCCGGGCGUGCGCCCGCCCGCAGCCCAGCCGAAACCCCCGGCGGGGCCCCCGCGCACGGCCGUCUAUCAGUGCCGCCAGCCUGCCGAUGACUCAGCAUCCUCCGGCUGUGCUCCCGCUUCCUCCCGGCGCCCGGGAAUUGCUGCCACGGUCACCAGCACCUCCAGCACGCUCAGCAGGAUGCUCCCCCAAAAUGCAGAGGGAAGUGGGGCACCCGUGCGGAUGGCUCCUCAGGUGGGUGGGAGAUUCCUAGGACAAGGAAUUUGCCUUCCAAGUUCUCAGGCUUGCUCCGUGCUGGCUUCGGGAGAGGUUUGCAGCGCGGGAAAAGCUGGGCUUCGCCUGCGCCACGCGACGGAAAGCAGCCAAAGGCUGUGUCCAGCAGCAACAUGCUUUUCCCAGCCGGCGCAACGAUGGGAAAUACGACCCCGGUGCUUCAUCCUGCCAGCACCAGCACAAACCGUGACACCAUCCUCCCUGCUCCUGCCUCGCGCACUUCCCAUGUGGAAAUGGCUAUCCCGGAUGAAUCCAUGCUGGAGCUACUGCAGCAGCAUCCUGCUCCUCCACCUGGCCCUGGGUUUCAGCAGGGACAUGGCACAGGGAUGUGAGUGCCCACUGCCAGGUGGGCUUCCCCCUGCUCCAGCCCAUCGUGCUCCAUGAUGCUGGAACUGGGCAGCCAGUGGCUUUAAGGCAGACUUUACAUCCACGUCCCUUAUACUUCAUACAUUCCUACGAGGGGCUCCCGGCCAUCCUGCAGCCAGAGGAGCUGGCAGCACCAAGCAGCGCCAGGGCAAUGCCAGGAGCCAGUGCUGCCGCUCUGCCACCCGAUCCCGGAGGAUGAGAGGUUAGGAGGCAGUCGGCCAGCCUUGCCAUGGAGGGGCUGCAGGAUCCGGCCCACCAUGUUCCCACCGCAAAACAGCCACACCGGAGGCUGCACCUGCGCAGGGAGGGCACCCUCCAGCACCCAGCACUGCAAAUCCAGCCUCGAAAGCAAACCUUAUGGAGCAGAGACCGUGUGGCCGUGCCCAGUGCCGAGCAAGGUGUGCUCAUACAUGCAUGCGUACACAGGCGUCCCCGAAGCAUGUGCAGCGCAGCCAGCGCGCCACGAUCUGAAAAUGAAACCGGCCCCGACUCUACCGCUACUCUCCAUGCCAGGAAAAUGCACGCCAGCAACAUAAAUAGGAAAUCUGAUUUAUGUGCCGGCUCUCCCAGAAACAACUGUUCCCCAACCAGAGAAAAAGCGGACGGCAGCAUUUUCGGCUCCCUUUUAUAAGCACAACACUAUUCAAAAUUCACCCUGAGGACUAUUUUCAGGAGGGAGCAAAGCGAGGGGCUGGGAGACGCCCUCACCAGACCCACAGCUCCCGGCAUCCUGAGUGGCAGAAAUACAAAGUUCCCACAAUCCCAA